UAGUCAUUAUGUAAGACAACACAUAUCUCUUAUUGAUGAGGUGCUGGGCUGAUGAAUAGUCAUUAUGUAAGGCAACACAUAUCUCUUAUUGAUGAGGUGCUGGGCUGAUUAAUAGUCAUUAUGUAAGGCAACACAUAUCUCUUAUUGAUGAGGUGCUGGGCUGAUUAAUAGUCAUUAUGUAAGGCAACACAUAUCUCUUAUUGAUGAGGUGCUGGGCUGAUUAAUAGUCAUUAUGUAAGGCAACACAUAUCUCUUAUUGAUGAGGUGCUGGGCUGAUGAAUAGUCAUUAUGUAAGGCAACACAUAUCUCUUAUUGAUGAGGUGCUGGGCUGAUUAAUAGUCAUUAUGUAAGGCAACACAUAUCUCUUAUUGAUGAGGUGCUGGGCUGAUUAAUAGUCAUUAUGUAAGGCAACACAUAUCUCUUAUUGAUGAGGUGCUGGGCUGAUUAAUAGUCAUUAUGUAAGGCAACACAUAUCUCUUAUUGAUGAGGUGCUGGGCUGAUUAAUAGUCAUUAUGUAAGGCAACACAUAUCUCUUAUUGAUGAGGUGCUGGGCUGAUUAAUAGUCAUUAUGUAAGGCAACACAUAUCUCUUAUUGAUGGGGUACUGGGCUGAUGAACAGUCAUUAUGUAAGGCUCCCGGGUGCUACAGACCCUGGUUCGAUUCCAGGCUGCAACACAGCCGUGAUUGGGAGUCCGAAUGGGGCGGCUCACAAUUGGCCCGGCGCCGUUCA